GCUUACGGCCACACCACCCUGAGCACGCCCGAUCUCGGAAGCUAAGCAGGGUCGGGCCUGGUUAGUACUUGGAUGGGAGACCGCCUGGGAAUACCAGGUGCUGUAAGCU
ensembl:rRNA 5S_rRNA 5S ribosomal RNA